rnacentral:tRNA from 1 species
UCCUCGUUAGUAUAGUGGACAGUAUCUCCGCCUGUCACGCGGAAGACCGGGUUUGAUUUCCCGACGGGGAG